CCUUACCCUCCAGUGACUCCUCUGAGUGAGCCCUGAGCUGCUAUCAUUACUCCUAACCCAUGCAGUUUCAGGACCAUGUGAGGUGUUUAAUUUUAAUUGUCUGCUCUUGGUUCAUUUAACAGAAGUAAAUGUAUUAAAAGGGUGAGAUGAAAAAACAGAGAGAAGGGAGAUACUAUCUUUUUCCUCAUUAAUAUGUCCAUCUCUGCAUGCGUGCAUUAUUUAUACUAACACUCACUUUACAGAGUCAUGCUUUGGAAUUAUUUAGGACAUUUAAUAUCAUGCUCCAUGCCAAAGCUGAUUUAGCUAACCAGGCUAAAGCAAUUCUGGCCCCAACAGGGGUAAUCUGUGUCCCGGUUAGUUUUUAACAUUAGGGAGUCCUCGUUGGAGCUCGUAUGCAGCUUCUAAACAUAUUUUGGCUUGAUAGUCACACUUAACUUCUAUGAAAGGAAGAACUGUCUUUGCACUGUGGUCAGCUUCCCCUCGCACUGCUCUCCUCUUGGAACCAUUGAUGACACCACGGUGUCGCACUGACUGUUGGAAUCACAACUUUGUGGUGGAUGAAAGAAGCAGCGAGACCUUCUACUGCACCCGCAACCCUCAGAGCCCACGUUGGCAUCAUGAAUGUGGCUAUGGCCAUCGAGGGUUUUGACGUCAAGAGAAGGACGUGUUUUUUCACCCCUAUGUGAAGACGAAUACUUCCAGGAAUAUCAACAGCGGAAAACCAGAGCUGGGUGUGGUGGCGAGGCCUGUGACCCCAGCACGCUGACAGUCCGGGGCUGGAGCAGCCUGAGGAACUCAGCAACUUACAAGACCUUGUCUGAAAAUAAAAAAUAAAAAUGGA